CUUCCCCUCUCCCCCCAUCUCCCGCCCCUCUGCAUGGGGCUGAUGCCUGACUUUUGUCCCCCUGUAACUAACCUGCAGCCCUAGUCAUGGUCCCACCUAGAGCAUCAUCCGCUACCCUGACCCCAUUUGCACCACCCAGCCCCCUACCCUGCCUCAAGUUCUACCAAACAGCUGCCCCCCCACACACCUGAAGUCCUGCUGCGACCUACAGCCCCGCCUAACAGCUCCACUCCCUCCAGUAUUAUGUUUGGGCUACUGUGGCCCAAUGCUGCACGUACUAGUAAGGCUGAGGAGUGAAUGUUCUGUAAUUAACAACAUGUAUGACCACAUCCACAGGCCUAGUUCUUAUUACAAUUUAUAUACUGUAUUCGUUGAGAAAUAAAUGUAUCCCCCUUGGGGUUUAGAGAGCACAGCCCCAUUCAAACAUUGUCCUGAGGCAGAGGGAGUUCUGAUUGCUCUAGGUCUAGCAUGAGGAAGUGCAGGUUGUACCUGGGGAGUGGAGAGAGGGAGAGUGACCAGCUGUGUGUGUCUCGAGCUCCAGCCUACAGGAAGCAGGCCCUCACAAAGGGAAGUAGCGGAGAACCAGCCUGAAGCCUGGGAGGUACAGAGCAGCCGACCAGCGAUGCCCCAGGACAGGAGGAGCACUGUGCCAGAGAGGAAUCACCAAGAAAGACAAACUGAAGCCAGACCCAAUAUCACUGUUGCCCAGAGCUGCAUGGAGCUGAGGAGGGGUGAGAACCCAGAGAGACAAAGGAUAACUGCCUUGGGCCAAAGCUAUAAAAGGGAGUGGAACAGAACAAAGGUGGCCAGUCAUGAGAAAUUCCCUAGUUACCACCUGAGCUGGAACAAGGAUUGUACCAGAGGAAAGGAUUGGGCCCAGACUAGGAAGGAGUCUUGACUGUGAAAGAAGCUUAUUAGAACAUCAGAGGGUGAGAUUUACCUGUAUUCAGUUUCUUAAAUGUAUUAGGCUUAGGCUUGUGUGUUUUGUUCUAUUUUGCUUGGUAAUUUACUUUGUUCUGUGUGUUAUUACUUGAAAUCACUUAAAUCCUACUUUUAGACUUAAUAAAAUCACUUUUGUUUAUUAAUUAA